rnacentral:rRNA from 1 species
CCUACGGGAGGCAGCAGUGAGGAAUAUUGGUCAAUGGACGAGAGUCUGAACCAGCCAAGUAGCGUGAAGGAUGACUGCCCUAUGGGGUGUAAACUUCUUUUAUAAAGGAAUAAAACGAGGCACGUGUGCCUUUUUGCAUGUACUUUAUGAAUAAGGAUCGGCUAACUCCGUGCCAGCAGCCGCGGUAAUACGGAGGAUCCGAGCGUUAUCCGGAUUUAUUGGGUUUAAAGGGAGCGUAGAUGGGUUGUUAAGUCAGUUGUGAAAGUUUGCGGCUCAACCGUAAAAUUGCAAUUGAUACUGGCAGGCUUGAGUACAGUUGAGGUAGGCGGAAUUCGUGGUGUAGCGGUGAAAUGCUUAGAUAUCACGAAGAACCCCGAUUGCGAAGGCAGCUUACUAAACUGUGACUGACAUUGAUGCUCGAAAGUGUGGGUAUCAAACAGGAUUAGAUACCCUUGUAGUC